UUUAACAGGNNUUUUUGGAAGGCCCUUAAAUUGUUUUGGGCCGCAACGGCGGGUUAAAAUGGCGGGAGCCCGGGGAUAAUUCCUGGCCGGAAGGCCCGGUAAUUCUUGGUAAAAUUCCCUUCGUGCUUGGGAUAGACCAUUUCCAAUUAUUGCUCUUCAACGGAGGAAUCCUAGUAAAGCGCAAGUCAUCAGCUUGCGUUGAUUACGUCCCUGCCCUUUGUACCACACCGCCCGUCGGUUACUACCGGAUUGAAUGGCUCAGUGAGGCGUCCGGACUGGCCCAGGGAGGUGGGCAACUACCACCCAGGGCCGGAAAGCUCUCCAAACUCGGUCAUUUAGAGGAAGUAAAAGUCGUAACAAGGUCUCCGUUGGUGAACCAGCGGAGGGAUCAUUACCGAGUUAUCCAACUCCCAACCCCUGUGAAUUAUACCUUUAAUUGUUGCUUCGGCGGGACUUCGCGCCCGCCGGGGACCCAAACCUUCUGAAUUUUUUAAUAAGUAUCUUCUGAGUGGUUAAAAAAAUGAAUCAAAACUUUCAACAACGGAUCUCUUGGUUCUGGCAUCGAUGAAGAACGCAGCGAAAUGCGAUAAGUAAUGUGAAUUGCAGAAUUCAGUGAAUCAUCGAAUCUUUGAACGCACAUUGCGCCCGUCAGUAUUCUGGCGGGCAUGCCUGUUCGAGCGUCAUUACGCCCCUCAAGUCCCCUGUGGACUUGGUGUUGGGGAUCGGCGAGGCUGGUUUUCCAGCGCAGCCGUCCCUCAAAUCAAUUGGCGGUCUCGCCGUGGCCCUCCUCUGCGCAGUAGUAAAACACUCGCAACAGGAGCCCGGCGCGGUCCACUGCCGUAAAACCCCCCAACUUUUUAUAGUUGACCUCGAAUCAGGUAGGACUACCCGCUGAACUUAAGCAUAUCAAUAAGCGGAGGAAAAGAAACCAACAGGGAUUGCCCCAGUAACGGCGAGUGAAGCGGCAACAGCUCAAAUUUGAAAUCUGGUCCCCAGGGCCCGAGUUGUAAUUUGCAGAGGAUGCUUUUGGUGAGGUGCCUUCCGAGUUCCCUGGAACGGGACGCCAUAAAGGGUGAGAGCCCCGUCUGGUUUGGAUACCGAGCCCUCUGUAAAGCUCCUUCGACAGUCGAGUUAGUUUGGGAAUUGCUUGCUCCUAAAAUGGGAGGUAUAUUGUCUUCUAAAGCUAAAUUAUGGCCAAAGACCGAUUUNU
rnacentral:rRNA from 1 species